ACCAGUGUGGCAUAGUGGUUUGAGUGUUGGACUACCACUCUGGAGACCGGGGUUUGAUUCCCAGCUCAGCCU
rnacentral:tRNA from 1 species